UACGGAGGAUCCGAGCGUUAUCCGGAUUUAUUGGGUUUAAAGGGUGAGUAGGCGGAAAUGUAAGUCAGUGGUGAAAUCCCGCAGCUUAACUGUAGAAUAGCCGUUGAAACUGUGUUUCUUGAGUACAUUUGAGGUAGGCGGAAUGUGGUGUGUAGCGGUGAAAUGCAUAGAUAUACCACAGAACACCGAUUGCGAAGGCAGCUUACUAAACUGUCACUGACGCUGAUGCACGAAAGCGUGGGUAUCAAACAGGAUUAGAUA
rnacentral:rRNA from 1 species